rnacentral:rRNA from 1 species
GGUGAUUAAAAUUUAUUUAAUGAUUUUAAAUAUCUCGAAAAUAAGGGAGCUAAAUUUAUAUUAUUUUUUUUGUAGCAAUAAAAUUAUAAAUAUAGAUUUAGAAAUUAAAUGUUAAACGAACUUAUUAAUAUCUAGUUUUUUUAGAAAUAAAUUUAAUUUAGAUAUAAUUAUUUUAGUAAAUUAAAUUUUAUUUUAAUUUAUUAAUUUUUAUAUUAAAAAUUUAUGGGAUAAUCUAUAAAUUUAAGAUAAAAAUUUAAUUUUAAUUUUUAAUGUUAUAGAGAUAAUAUUUUUCUUUAAUUUUAAUAAUUUAAUAAUUUAAUAUUUAUAAAUUAAUAAUGAUUUAAAUUUAUAUUUUAUUUUUCUAUAAAAAUUUAUAUUUUAAUUAAUAAAAUAUAGAAAUAAUGAUUAGAUUAGUAAUAAAGUUAUAUUUUAUAAUGAUAUUUUGUAUUAUAUAAUUUAAAGGAAUUCGGCAAAUAUAUUAUUCACCUGUUUAUCAAAAACAUGUCCUGUUGAUUAUAAUUUUAGGUCGAUCUGCUCAAUGAAUUAUUUUAAAUAGCUGCAGUAUGUUGACUGUACAAAGGUAGCAUAAUAAAUUGUCUUUUAAUUGAAGAAUUGUAUGAAAGAAUUAAUGAAAUAAUAACUGUCUCUAAAUUAUUAAAUGAAUUUAAAUUUUUAGUUAAAAUUCUAAAAUUUAAUUAUGGGACGAUAAGACCCUAUAGAAUUUAAUUUAAUUUUUAAAUUUAUUUAUAAUUUUAAUAAAUAUAUUUAAGAUUAAAUUUGAUUGGGAGGAUUGGUAAAUUUAAUAAACUUUAUUUAAGAUUUAAUUUUGAUAUAAAGAUAAUUUUUUGAAUUAUAAAUUGUAAUUAAAAGAAUAAAUUACCUUAGGGAUAACA